rnacentral:rRNA from 1 species
AUUGAACGCUGGCGGCAGGCUUAACACAUGCAAGUCGAGCGGAGAUGAGGUGCUUGCACCUUAUCUUAGCGGCGGACGGGUGAGUAAUGCUUAGGAAUCUGCCUAUUAGUGGGGGACAACAUUCCGAAAGGAAUGCUAAUACCGCAUACGUCCUACGGGAGAAAGCAGGGGAUCUUCGGACCUUGCGCUAAUAGAUGAGCCUAAGUCGGAUUAGCUAGUUGGUGGGGCAAAGGCCUACCAAGGCGACGAUCUGUAGCGGGUCUGAGAGGAUGAUCCGCCACACUGGGACUGAGAAACGGCCCAGACUCCUACGGGAGGCAGCAGUGGGGAAUAUUGGACAAUGGGGGGAACCCUGAUCCAGCCAUGCCGCAUGUGUGAAGAAGGCCUUAUGGUUGUAAAGCACUUUAAGCGAGGAGGAGGCUACUGAGACUAAUACUCUUGGAUAGUGGACGUUACUCGCAGAAUAAGCACCGGCUAACUCUGUGCCAGCCGCCGCCGUAA